AGGAUUAGAUACCCUAUUAUAAUUUGAAGCGAAAACUUAACCAGAGUAUUAAUAGUUAUUUUCUUUAAAUUCAAAGAAUUUGGCGGUAUUUUAGUCCUUUUAGAGGAACCUGUUUCAUAAACGAUAAACCACGAAUAUCUUACCUAUAUUUAGUUUGUAUACCGUCAUUAUUAGAUAACUUUGAUAAAAUAAGUUAUUGAAAUUAAUAAAAUUAAGUAAAUUAGAUCAAGGUGCAGCUUAUAUAUAGGCGAAAAUGGGUUACAAUAAUUUGUGUAAUUAAAUGAAUUUAUUAUUGAAAAUGAUAAUGAAGGUGGAUUUAAUUGUAAUUAUAUUUAUUUUAAUAUAUUGAUAUAAGGCUCUAAAAUAUGUACAUAUCGCCCGUCGCUA
rnacentral:rRNA from 1 species